rnacentral:rRNA from 1 species
GAUGAACGCUGGCGGCGUGCCUAAUACAUGCAAGUCGAGCGAAUGGAUUAAGAGCUUGCUCUUAUGAAGUUAGCGGCGGACGGGUGAGUAACACGUGGGUAACCUGCCCAUAAGACUGGGAUAACUCCGGGAAACCGGGGCUAAUACCGGAUAACAUUUUGAACCGCAUGGUUCGAAAUUGAAAGGCGGCUUCGGCUGUCACUUAUGGAUGGACCCGCGUCGCAUUAGCUAGUUGGUGAGGUAACGGCUAACCAAGGCAACGAUGCGUAGCCGAACUGAGAGGGGGAUCGGCCACACUGGGACUAGGACACGGCCCAGACUCCUACGGGAGGCAGCAGUAGGGAAUCUUCCGCAAUGGACGAAAGUCGGACGGAGCAACGCCGGGUGAGUGAUGAAUGCUUUCGGGUCGUAAAACUCUGUUGUUAGGGAAGAACAAGUGCUAGUUGAAUAAGCUGGCACCUUGACGGUACCUAACCAGAAAGCCACGGCUAACUACGUGCCAGCCGCCGCCGUAA